rnacentral:rRNA from 1 species
AUUGAACGCUGGCGGCAUGCUUUACACAUGCAAGUCGAACGGCAGCGCGGGCUUCGGCCUGGCGGAGAGUGGCGAACGGGUGAGUAAUGCAUCGGAACGUGCCCAGUAGUGGGGGAUAGCCCGGCGAAAGCCGGAUUAAUACCGCAUACGACCUGAGGGUGCAAGCGGGGGACCGAAAGGCCUCGCGCUAUUGGAGCGGCCGAUGUCGGAUUAGCUAGUUGGUGGGGUAAAGGCUUACCAAGGCGACGAUCCGUAGCUGGUCUGAGAGGACGACCAGCCACACUGGGACUGAGACACGGCCCAGACUCCUACGGGAGGCAGCAGUGGGGAAUUUUGGACAAUGGGGGCAACCCUGAUCCAGCCAUGCCGCGUGCGGGAAGAAGGCCUUCGGGUUGUAAACCGCUUUUGUUCGGGAAGAAAUCCUCUGGGCUAAUACCCCGGGGGGAUGACGGUACCGGAAGAAUAAGCACCGGCUAACUACGUG